AUUGAACGCUGGCGGCAUGCCUUACACAUGCAAGUCGAACGGUAACAGGUCUUCGGAUGCUGACGAGUGGCGAACGGGUGAGUAAUACAUCGGAACGUGCCUAGUAGUGGGGGAUAACUACUCGAAAGAGUGGCCAAUACCGCAUGAGAUCUACGGAUGAAAGCAGGGGAUCGCAAGACCUUGUGCUACUAGAGCGGCCGAUGGCAGAUUAGGUAGUUGGUGGGAUAAAAGCUCACCAAGCCGACGAUCUGUAGCUGGUCUGAGAGGACGAUCAGCCACACUGGGACUGAGAAACGGCCCAGACUCCUACGGGAGGCAGCAGUGGGGAAUUUUGGACAAUGGGCGCAAGCCUGAUCCAGCAAUGCCGCGUGCAGGAUGAAGGCCUUCGGGUUGUAAACUGCUUUUGUACGGAACGAAAAGCCCCGGGUUAAUACCCUGGGGUCAUGACGGUACCGUAAGAAUAAGCACCGGCUAACUACGUGCCAGCCGCCGCCGUAA
rnacentral:rRNA from 1 species